rnacentral:other from 1 species
GCAUACCUAGAAUGUUCGAACAAUCUACGUAUUUUGAACCUACAACACUUUAAACGGGAUUCCUACAUUGCUGCUUGGCUGUCAGGCCUCAUUUAUAUCGGUGGAAGGCAAAAGAGUAGUUGCGGUUGCCCACCUAGAUUCGUCUAGGAGUCAAAAUCGUAGACUCGGCAUUUUGGGUGUCUU